rnacentral:rRNA from 1 species
UACGAAGGGUGCAAGCGUUAAUCGGAAUUACUGGGCGUAAAGAGCUCGUAGGCGGUGUGUCAAGUCAGGCGUGAAAGCCCCGGGCUCAACCUGGGAACCGCGCUUGAGACUGGCACGCUCGAGUUCGGGAGAGGAUGGUGGAAUUCCCAGUGUAGAGGUGAAAUUCGUAGAUAUUGGGAAGAACACCGAUGGCGAAGGCAGCCAUCUGGACCGACACUGACGCUGAGGCGCGAAAGCGUGGGGAGCAAACAGG